ACCCCAACUCUACCUAGACCGGCUCUUCCACCCCUAUACCGGUCCCAAACCGACCAUCUAGCCUAGCUACCACAACUAGUACUAUGACCUCAACCAACGGAAACUACAUAAGGUAACCACAACUCUAAAACCUACAGUAAGUACGACAGACCGUGUCUACUGAGAAGUGUCUCUGACCAGAGCCGCAGAAUAAUGAAUCGGUUUUGAUAUAUACAACACCCAGCGUUACGAAUUCAUAAAACACCACGGGAUUCUAUAACUAGAUCUGAUAUGUAUCACCGACUUGUAGAACUCUGAUUAUAAUAACAACAAGUAACUGGGCGACGGUACCCUACACUAGAUUGGCUCCAUCGUAACUACUAUCUCAACCGUCUAAUCAACAUUUCUAACCAACAAUAUCCACACGUAUGUAAAUUCACAUUAUCUGUACAAAUUGGAACGAACUCACCAAUUACAACUGCAACUUAAAAUCACUUUCACAGUACUGACUCAAGAAGUCCUUUCACUACUUCACUCUGUCGAAACACCACACGUAAUGAAUGCCGCUCUGCCGCUGGUUAGCGUGUCUACCCCAAAAAUCUCCCUACCACUUCACGCCAUUUUAUCAUAAAAAUACCCGCGCCACUUGCUAUUGGUCGAUUCAAACAUAUCACAAGACUGCCAACAUAAAAAAUGAUAUUGCCAAUAUUGUUAAAGUUGCCACUUGAAAAUAAUAUUGACUAUGGACAAACACGAUUUACUCAAAACUUUGAAUAAUUAUGGAAUUAUUAAACAGUAAAUUUAAUCGAAUCACGACAAUUGUAAUGUUAUUAUCUGUUCGUAUUUGGUUGGUACCAAAAAUUUGUAACAAUAAGAAGAGAAAAAGUGGAUUCGCAAACACAUCUCUUUAUGAGGUCUGUUAGUCAGUCAUCAACUCAUCGCCGAUUGGGCGAAUUUCAUAAUUAGUUGAUAAUAGGAACACGUCAAAACAGUUAAAUUAUGAAACCACGUCGAUCGCCUUGAAAUUAAAAUUUAGAUUGCACUUCAGGAACAAGUGAGGUCUGUCAGUCAGUCAUCACCGAUGUGGUCUCAUUGAUUUCUUGGGUGAAUUACAUAAUUUGAGAACAUGUUCGGCCAUUCUGCCCAUGACAACCUUUUCUCGUCAGUAGACAAUAAGUACCUCAGAUAUGCCGUGAUUAAGUCAGUACUUUCAUCUCUUUUAGGAUCGCUUUAUGGUGUGAUUUGAUGUAUUCCACUGAAGGUUUGAUUAGACAUUUUUAACUUUCUCGUAAAGCUUGAGCUUGAUCUUAAUAUGGGAUGGUGUUAUUAAAACUGAUUUAAAUUGUCUGUCAAUCGUCCAAGUAAAUUACUUAGUAGAAAAUUCUUUACAAUAAUGGCCUUCUUAAUGAACCAAACUUAUGAACAUUCAACAAAUUUAUGACUACAAGACUCGUAUCUUGGUUGAAAAAUGAAACCUUAAAAAUUUAUUCACUACUAUCAUUUAAGACAAAAAGGAAACUGGGAUACCGGUUCUACGUAUCGUUGAUAUUUGGCAUUGGCACGCACAACACACGGAAACGUUUAAGUGCGAAACUUGUAAUUAGAAUAAGUCUGAACCGAACGAGAAACUCGAAAGAAAUGGCCAAUACGAAGAUGUUCCAGUAAGUCUUUAAGAUAGCUUGGAUUCGAGCUCCAAAUACCUAAUCGAACAAUCCAUGUACCCACAAAUGUUUAAUCCGCCAAAUGCGGCAGUGGUCUGAGAAACACGCGGAACAACUAUUAAAAUAUCAACUUAAAAAAAAAUUAAAAAUCUCUGAGAUUAAAUCCUACAAAAGAUAUUCAUAACCAACGGCCAAGAAAGACAAUUUAGUUUUCCCAACAACACUUCCUAACGGAGCCAAUACUUUUAACGGAAAUGGAAAAUGAUCAGCAAAUCACCAAAGCCGUUGAGUCACCUCGCACAGACCCGUCAGCUCACCACAGAGUUUGUCAAAGUUAUUCGAUAAACCUGUAUUACGAAGAAAACAACCGAUUCUAUAUGACACAACAUCCAGUCAGUAGCUUGGUCCUUGGUAAUAGUAUUCCACCGUAAAACAGAAAACGUUGAAAAGAAGGAACACUGCCGAUCAGUGUCUCCCACCAUAAAACAAGCCCUUGAUCUAGUACGGUAUUAAGGAUCACUUAAAAAACAAAACUACUAUGCUAUUAUGACCUCUCAAAGUGACUGCUGUGAAAUUUAAGAAUAUUCAACGGUUCGCCAUUAACAGCGAAAUCUACGAAUAAUCAAAAACGAUUUUGAAGACAAAAAAAAAAACGGAACUAUCCAGAAACACAACAGGAGUCCGAUAAAUUGCUUAAACCCGUCUACUAUCAUCUUGGGACCACGAAAUAGUAAAGUAAAUGUUUUCAAAGAAAUACACCUGUGAAGCUUUACAAAACACAUCUGCUUCUAAUAGCGGCCUACCA